CAGAGGGUCCUCAACCCGUCAGCUCCGGACCAGGCAAGAUCCCGAGGAUGUAGGAGUCAGGCGGGCUCCUCCUCCUGCUUGCCCUCUGCCCUUCGCCCUACUCUCAGGAGGCAGCCGCCUACCCUCCAUCAACCUCGGCCUCCUGCGUAGCUGGGAUUACAAGUGUGGUGUGCGCCACGAUGCUGGGCUAAUUUUUGUAUUGUUAGUAGAGACGAGGUGUCACUGUGUUGGCCAGGCUGGUCUCAAAACUCUGGACCUCAACUGAUCUUACCACCUUGGCCUCCCGAAGUGCUGGUGCUGGGAUUACAGGCAGAAACUACUGUGC
rnacentral:lncRNA from 10 species